CCUGCCAGGUGAGAGGAGGAAGCGGGGGUUUUCUUACCUGUCCGGGAGCGGGAGAGGCGGGGUGCGAUGAUGCCUUCAGGGACGAGGGGGAAAACCAGGCUUCAGCGUCCAAGCGUCAAAUGCAGCCUUGAAAACUUGGUCAAAAAAAGCCCAGGAUACCUUUCAUCUACUACUGAACCUCUGGGAGCCUGACAGAGCGGAGAACCAGAGACCGGACACGGGCCCCCAGUCUUCACACCGUCUACGGUGACGUCUGUGAGUCCGCUGGUGAAGACCCUCAUACACAGACUGUCAGUGCCUCAAACAUACAGGACGAUCAGGACACACGCUGGCAGACUGAGGAGCAGCAGCCUCUAUGUCCCCUCCAUGUUUUUGUAAUCUCAGUUAUUACAGUUUUGUGUGUACACUGUCUUAUUGUAUUUUGAUGCUUUGCAUUUUUCUGUAUUGCUAAGGACAAAUAAAGGCUGAAAUAACAAUCA